CCUGUUCAUUCCAGCUCUGGCUACUGUAGUGACUAGAUCCACAGGACAUCUUAAAGCUAUUGCAGAUUGCAAACUGACGAACACCAAAGCCUGUUUCCCUCCUGUCCGGUGAAGCUCCUGUCUGGGCCACUCCCCUCUGGGAACAGGAUGACUCCUUAACAUAAAUUGACCUACAGUUUAUAGAGCUACUGUCAACUUUCUGCAACAUAAUUGAGGAAUCUAGCUGAACAGCUUCUGCAGCCUUGUCUUUGCUGCAACUACAGGUACAUUAGGUGAGAAUGACCUACUGAUUCAUGAAUCGAGUCGCGAGGAGCCAUUCAGAGGACCACGUUAUGAUCGCAGAGAACCAUCGCCCGGAGCAACCGGAUUCUUACUCCAGGAGGACCUACCCAAGAAGAACCACCACAUUUUAAGGAACCGUCAUGGAUAAUCACCCUUCCUUUUGAAGACAUUUCUUUAUUAGAGACACUUUAGAGACUUUUCUCUGUCACCACCCUUGCCGGACAUCGCGGUCAAGCAACCGAAGAGGCCCAAGAAUGCUAGGCCAGGUUCUUCUUGUUAGUUCAACUGUAGUGUAGCAUGUUGCCCUUUACAUGUUUAUUCCCUUUAGAGGUCUGGUUUGAGUUAUUGUAGUGUUAGGGAGCCGCUGAAAUGACAACAUAUGGUGAAAAGGCGGGGGAACUGUUGUGGAAAAAGUGUUCGCCAUCUAUCCUAUGGAGAUGCACAGAUUCGUUCGCAUUGUGCAGAAACUUUUGUAUGAUGGUCUGGUCGUCCCUGUAGCCGAUUUGUGCCCGGUCUGGUAUUAAUGCAGGAAACCAGUGUCAUGGCGCCAGCUGAGGCGGGAGGGAUGGGGAACGUCAAACAAAGGUUUCUUCAUCCGCUCAUGUAAGACCGCCUUCCAUCUUCUGGUAUAAAUAAACCAUGCCUAGC